rnacentral:rRNA from 1 species
CGGGGAUCAUUACAGGUUCGAAAAACUCCCAAACCAGUGUGUCCUCUUGCCUGUUGCCUCGGCAGGCCGCCCAGGGCGGGCGCCUUAUGGCCUGCCAAAGGCACGAACUCUUCUGUAACCUGUCCUCUGAAGCACUAUAAAAUAAGUCAAAACUUUCAACAACGGAUCUCUUGGUUCUGGCAUCGAUGAAGAACGCAGCGAAAUGCGAUAAGUAAUGUGAAUUGCAGAAUUCAGCGAACCAUCGAAUCUUUGAACGCACAUUGCGCCCGCCAGUAUUCUGACGGGCAUGCCUGUUCGAGCGUCAUUUCAACCCUCAGGCCCAGCCUGGCGAUGGGACCCCGGGGCUGCCCCGGGAGCCCUGAAAAUAGCGGCGGGCUCCGCCACGCACCGAGCGCAGUAGCAUUCUCGCCCUGGCGCGCGGCGGCGUCUUGCCUCGCACAGACUUUUCUGGUUGACCUCGGAUCAGGUAGGAAUACCCGCUGAACUUAA